rnacentral:rRNA from 1 species
UUGAGCAGUGAGGUUCUUGUAUUAUCUAUUGACCGCAUGACGCACCAUGGUCCUUGUUUAUAUCUCUCCAUGGAUAGUGGGAAAUCGAUUUCUCUAAUAAUGUUCUGUAUGCAUAUUGAUUAUGACAAUAUGUACAUAUUGUCUUGACUAAAUACGUGCCAGCAGUCGCGGUAAUACCUAAGACACUGGUGUUAUUCGUCUUAAAUGGGUUUAAAGGGUACUUAGACGGUGUAAAAUUAGCCUAGGGAACAAUUUCACUAGAGUUUUAUGUGAGGAGGUCGUACUCUUGAGUGUAGAGAUCAAAUUUGUUGAUACCUGGGGGACUGGUAAAGGCGAAGGCAACCUCUUAUGUAAAAACUGACGUCGAAGGACGAAGGCAUAGGGCACGAACAGGAUUAAGUACCCCCGUAUUCUUUGCAUAGAAUGAUGAAUGCCAUAGGUUAAGUGAGAGAAUUGAGAUCAAUAUUCUUAAUUCUCUUUUCACUUGGCUUAUAAAUGAAAGUGUAAGCAUUUCACCUCGAGAGUAAUGCGGCAACGCAGGAACUGAAAACGUAUGAGCAUGAGCGAGAGAGGAGAUCAGUGUUCC